GGAGGUCUGUCGCGCGCCUUUCCUGUAGAGGGCGUGAGGAAAGUCCGGGCAACGCAGAGCACCAUCCUCCCCGCGGGGAGUCGGCGGUAACGUCGGAGAAGAGUGACAGAAAAUAACCGCCGCUACGGCGGCAAGGGUGAAAAGGUGGGGUAAGAGCCCACCGGGCGCAACAGCGAUAUUGCGUGCCGCAUUCCUGAUGGGUUGCAAGGUCAAGUAUACCGGCAUUUAAGGGCUGCUCGUCCGUCAUGCCGGGGGGUAGACUGCUCAGAUAAAUGACAGACAGGUAAGGGUGCGUCGCCACCGGCGAUACCUCCCACCUACAUAACCCGGCUUAUAUCUGAUC
rnacentral:RNase_P_RNA from 1 species